AUUUAUAACUCUGUUUUUAUAAGAACUUUAUAACUCUGAGAAUCUGAACCAACAGCAACCAUGAGCUUCAUCACCAUCUUCAUCUGGAUAUUAACUAUCUACUGUUUCACAGAAUCAAGAGGUGAAGUGACAGUCACUCAGACGCCUGCAGUGAAAUCUGUUCGUCCAGGAGACUCCGUUACUGUAUCCUGUAAAACCAGUCCUGACGUCUAUCAGGGUUGGAGUGUUCAGCCUCUAGCCUGGUACUUACAGAAACCUGGAGAAGCUCCUAAACUCCUGAUUUAUGCAACAAGCACCCUCCAGUCAGGAACUCCAUCUAGAUUCAGUGGCAGUGGAUCUAACAGUGAUUUCACUCUGACCAUCAGUGGAGUCCAGACUGAAGAUGCUGGACAUUAUUACUGUCAGAGUGUACACUAUCCAAACAGCAACUGGGUGUUCACACAGUGAUAAAGAGUCGUACAAAAACCUCCGUCAGUCAGAGUCACAGUGACUGAACUGAUACUGCAGCUGCUCACACACUUUCACACACUUUCACACACACUCAUCAGUGCAGAAACACAAAUAUGAUCUUAAUAUCAGCUUUGUUGAGCUUCAUCAGUAUUUCUUCAGAUAAUUAGAAAUUCUUUUGAUGUUAUCAUCAUUUUUAGAUCAUUUAUGGUUUAUUUAUCCUCAUUUCCACUCACUCAAUAUUUUAAAGUCAUUGAUAUUUUUGAUCAUGUACUUUUAUUAUUUUUCUUCCUAAUCUUAGUUAUACAGUAAAGAUCUGAGGAACUGAAGCUGUCGAUCACACAGCGAGAGUUUAUCUGGACACUUCCCAAAACUCCUGUUAUAAUCAGUGACGCUCUUACACUACACAAUCAAUCUCUGACUGUAUUUACAUCGUGUUUGCAUUGUUAGUUAUGGUGAAAGCAUUUCUGGAGUGCAGAAAUUUAGUUGUAAUGACGAGAUCACUGCAUUCACACCAUCAACAGACUGUCUGUCAUCUGCUCAGUUUCUCAUCACUGCAACCUUCCCUGUGAUGAACAGAUCUAAAUAUAAGGCAAUAAUCAACACUUUUCACCAUUCGUUCAUUUAGACAGCUGUAAUAGUAAAAAUGUAGUGAUAGUAUUCGAGAAGGUUUCACAUGUAAACAAUCAGAGCACUAAAAUCAGAGUGGAAAUAGCCAUUUAUUUCUAAAUUAUGACAAUUAUUUGAUGUAGAAAUCAUAUUAACAUUAUAAGUGCACCUCAGGAAACAUUAUAAAUAAUAAUGAAUCAGUUGGUGAAGCGACUCAGACGCCUGCAGUGAAAUCUGUUCAUCUAGGAAACACAUUCACCAUGUCCUGUAAAAGCAGUCCUGACGUCUAUCAGAGUUGGGAUCAUCAACCUCUAUCCUGGUUUCAGUGAUAAAGAGUCAAAAACCUCCGUCAGUCAGAGUCACAGUGAUUUGUGCUAGAAACACUGAAGAAGUUCAUUCACAAAUAUGAGGCUGCAGCAGAUGAGAAGAUUUGAAGUCAAUAACAUCAUUUUAGAGCUUCAGACGACUGAGAAUAUCGAGCACAGGUGAGAUUAUCAGAGAUCCAAACACUGAAGGGUUCAUCCUAGACCAUUUGUCUAUUUAACCCCAAAUUUAUCUGUGUAUCAUCUAGAUACCCUGAAGACAUCAAACAAGUGAUCAACAGAAUUUGGAUUCAUCAGAUUGUUGAGAAGAUAUAGUUUUAUAAGUGUA